rnacentral:rRNA from 1 species
UGCGUAGGUGGCGGGGUAAGUCUGAUGUGAAAUCUCCGAGCUUAACUCGGAAAUGGCAUUGGAAACUACCUUGCUCGAGGGUUGGAGGGGGGACUGGAAUACUUGGUGUAGCAGUGAAAUGCGUAGAUAUCAAGUGGAACACCAGUGGCGAAGGCGAGUCCCUGGACAACUCCUGACACUGAGGCACGAAAGCUAGGGAGCAAACA